rnacentral:tRNA from 1 species
ACAGGUGUAGUUAAUUAAAACAUUUACUUUGAAAGUAAAAGAAAAGAAUUUAUUCUUCUUUGUC